CUUUAAUCCCUAACAGAAGAGAAUCUCACGAGAUGACUCUCACUUCAUGCUAGCUCUGUGCCUGGAGAAAAUUUUCUGAGCACAAAGAGGUAGAAUGCAACCAGAAAGAAAACUGUGGCCCUACUGAACUGAGGAAGAAGAGGUCAGAGUUCUGGAAUCAGAAAGAGCAAGUAGGAAGGGUGCUGCACCUAAGGACUCUAGAUCCUUGGUUUGGGACUGGGCCUCACACAUGUAAUGUGAGGCUCUUGAGACUGAGGAGGACUGCUGUUCGGUCAGGAUCAGAAGGAAUAUGCUAGAGUUCAAGCCACCAUGCAAGAUCCGUGAGCAACUCCUUAGGUGAAUUGUGAAAGACAGCCAGAGAUGGGGUUCUCACUAUGUUGCCUAGGCUGGUCUUGAACUCCUGACCUCAAGCAAUCUUCUUACCUCAGUCUCCUAAAGGAAUUACAGGAUUCCUUCAACCUACACAGUGACCAACCUCAUCUCCUCCAAAUUUCAGGUUGUGCUGCAGCCUAAUCAAUCAGCAAUCUGAAUAAAAAUAAAACUGGAAAGUUAUCCUUUCCAAUCACCAAC
rnacentral:lncRNA from 1 species